rnacentral:rRNA from 1 species
GGGUUGUGAGGUUAAGCGACUAAGCGUACACGGUGGAUGCCUAGGCAAUCAGAGGCGAUGAAGGACGUGCUAAUCUGCGAUAAGCGUCGGUAAGGUGAUAUGAACCGUUAUACCCGACGAUUUCCGAAUGGGGAAACCCAGUGCAAUCCGUUGCACUAUCGUUUGAUGAAUACAUAGUCAAACGAAGCGAACCGGGGGAACUGAAACAUCUCAGUACCCCGAGGAAAAGAAAUCAACCGAGAUUCCCCUAGUAGCGGCGAGCGAACGGGGAGCAGCCCAGAGUCUUAAUCAGCAUUAGUAUCAGGAGAACGGUCUGGAAAGUCCGGCAGUAAAGGGUGAUAGCCCCGUAUCUGAAGAUAUUAGUGUUGUGAACUCGACGAGUAGGGCGGGACACGUGUUAUCCUGUCUGAAUAUGGGGGGACCAUCCUCCAAGGCUAAAUACUCCUGAUUGACCGAUAGUGAACCAGUACCGUGAGGGAAAGGCGAAAAGAACCCCGGCGAGGGGAGUGAAAUAGAACCUGAAACCGUGUACGUACAAGCAGUGGGAGCCUUGAUUUAUCAGGGUGACUGCGUACCUUUUGUAUAAUGGGUCAGCGACUUAUAUUCUGUAGCAAGGUUAACCGUAUAGGGGAGCCGUAGGGAAACCGAGUCUUAACUGGGCGAAUGAGUUGCAGGGUAUAGACCCGAAACCCGGUGAUCUAGCCAUGGGCAGGUUGAAGGUUGGGUAACACUAACUGGAGGACCGAACCGACUAAUGUUGAAAAAUUAGCGGAUGACUUGUGGCUGGGGGUGAAAGGCCAAUCAAACCGGGAGAUAGCUGGUUCUCCCCGAAAGCUAUUUAGGUAGCGCCUCGUGAACUCAUCUUCGGGGGUAGAGCACUGUUUCGACUAGGGGGUCAUCCCGACUUACCAACUCGAUGCAAACUACGAAUACCGAAGAAUGUUAUCACGGGAGACACACGGCGGGUGCUAACGUUCGUCGUGAAGAGGGAAACAACCCAGACCGCCAGCUAAGGUCCCAAAGUCAUAGUUAAGUGGGAAACGAAGUGGGAAGGCUCAGACAGCCAGGAUGUUGGCUUAGAAGCAGCCAUCAUUUAAAGAAAGCGUAAUAGCUCACUGGUCGAGUCGGCCUGCGCGGAAGAUGUAACGGGGCUAAACUAUGCACCGAAGCUGCGGCAGCGAUAUGUAAAUAUUGUUGGGUAGGGGAGCGUUCUGUAAGCCUGUGAAGGUGUACUGUGAGGUAUGCUGGAGGUAUCAGAAGUGCGAAUGCUGACAUAAGUAACGAUAAUGCGGGUGAAAAACCCGCACGCCGGAAGACCAAGGGUUCCUGUCCAACGUUAAUCGGGGCAGGGUGAGUCGACCCCUAAGGCGAGGCAGAAAUGCGUAGUCGAUGGGAAACGGGUUAAUAUUCCCGUACUGGUGAUAAUUGCGAUGGGGGGACGGAGAAGGCUAGGCUGGCCGGGCGACGGUUGUCCCGGUUUAAGGAUGUAGGCAGGUGAAUUAGGCAAAUCCGGUUCACUACAUGCUGAGGUCUGAUGACGAGUCACUACGGUGGCGAAGUAGCUCAUGCCCCGCUUCCAGGAAAAGCCUCUAAGCUCUAGAUUAUCAUUAAUCGUACCCCAAACCGACACAGGUGGUCAGGUAGAGAAUACUCAGGCGCUUGAGAGAACUCGGGUGAAGGAACUAGGCAAAAUGGUGCCGUAACUUCGGGAGAAGGCACGCUGGCGCUAGGUGAAGUGGUUUACCCAUGGAGCUGAAGCCAGUCGCAGAUACCAGCUGGCUGCAACUGUUUAUUAAAAACACAGCACUGUGCAAACACGAAAGUGGACGUAUACGGUGUGACGCCUGCCCGGUGCUGGAAGGUUAAUUGAUGGGGUUAUCCGUAAGGAGAAGCUCUUGAUCGAAGCCCCAGUAAACGGCGGCCGUAACUAUAACGGUCCUAAGGUAGCGAAAUUCCUUGUCGGGUAAGUUCCGACCUGCACGAAUGGCGUAAUGAUGGCCAGGCUGUCUCCACCCGAGACUCAGUGAAAUUGAACUCGCUGUGAAGAUGCAGUGUACCCGCGGCAAGACGGAAAGACCCCGUGAACCUUUACUAUAGCUUGACACUGAACAUUGAGCCUUGAUGUGUAGGAUAGGUGGGAGGCUUUGAAGUGUGGACGCCAGUCUGCAUGGAGCCAACCUUGAAAUACCACCCUUUAAUGUUUGAUGUUCUAACGUUGCCCCGUUAUCCGGGGUGCGGACAGUGUCUGGUGGGUAGUUUGACUGGGGCGGUCUCCUCCCAAAGAGUAACGGAGGAGCACGAAGGUUGGCUAAGCAUGGUCGGACAUCAUGCGGUUAGUGCAAAGGCAUAAGCCAGCUUGACUGCGAGAGUGACGGCUCGAGCAGGUACGAAAGUAGGUCUUAGUGAUCCGGUGGUUCUGAAUGGAAGGGCCAUCGCUCAACGGAUAAAAGGUACUCCGGGGAUAACAGGCUGAUACCGCCCAAGAGUUCAUAUCGACGGCGGUGUUUGGCACCUCGAUGUCGGCUCAUCACAUCCUGGGGCUGAAGUAGGUCCCAAGGGUACGGCUGUUCGCCGUUUAAAGUGGUACGCGAGCUGGGUUUAGAACGUCGUGAGACAGUUCGGUCCCUAUCUGCCGUGGGCGUUGGAAGAUUGAAAGGGGCUGCUCCUAGUACGAGAGGACCGGAGUGGACGCACCACUGGUGUUCGGGUUGUCAUGCCAAUGGCAUUGCCCGGUAGCUAAGUGCGGAAGAGAUAACCGCUGAAAGCAUCUAAGCGGGAAACUUGCCUUGAGAUGAGUCUUCCCUGACCCUUUAAGGGUCCUAAAGGAACGUUUAAGACUAAGACGUUGAUAGGUUGGGUGUGUAAGCAUAGCGAUAUGUUGAGCUAACCAAUACUAAUGAACCGUGAGGCUUAACCUGACAACACCGAAGGUGUUUUAG